rnacentral:rRNA from 1 species
GAUGAACGCUGGCGGCGUGCCUAAUACAUGCAAGUCGAGCGAACGGACGAGAAGCUUGCUUCUCUGAUGUUAGCGGCGGACGGGUGAGUAACACGUGGAUAACCUACCUAUAAGACUGGGAUAACUUCGGGAAACCGGAGCUAAUACCGGAUAAUAUUUUGAACCGCAUGGUUCAAAAGUGAAAGACGGUCUUGCUGUCACUUAUAGAUGGAUCCGCGCUGCAUUAGCUAGUUGGUAAGGUAACGGCUUACCAAGGCAACGAUGCAUAGCCUACCUGAGAGGGUGAUCGGCCACACUGGAACCGAGACACGGUCCAGACUCCUACGGGGGGCAGCAGUAGGGAAUCUUCCGCAGUGGGCGAAAGCCUGACGGAGCAACGCCGCGUGAGUGAUGAAGGUCUUCGGAUCGUAAAACUCUGUUAUUAGGGAAGAACAUAUGUGUAAGUAACUGUGCACAUCUUGACGGUACCUAAUCAGAAAGCCACGGCUAACUACGUG